rnacentral:rRNA from 1 species
GGCGGCGUGCUUAACACAUGCAAGUCGAACGGAAAGGCCCUGCUUGCAGGGUACUCGAGUGGCGAACGGGUGAGUAACACGUGGGUGAUCUGCCUUGCACUUCGGGAUAAGCCUGGGAAACUGGGUCUAAUACCGGAUAGGACCAUGCUUUAGUGUGUGUGGUGGAAAGUUUUUCGGUGCAAGAUGAGCCCGCGGCCUAUCAGCUUGUUGGUGGGGUAAUGGCCUACCAAGGCGACGACGGGUAGCCGGCCUGAGAGGGUGUACGGCCACAUUGGGACUGAGACACGGCCCAGACUCCUACGGGAGGCAGCAGUGGGGAAUAUUGCACAAUGGGCGCAAGCCUGAUGCAGCGACGCCGCGUGGGGGAUGAAGGCCUUCGGGUUGUAAACUCCUUUCGCUAGGGAAGAAGCCACUUGUGGUGACGGUACCUUGA